rnacentral:rRNA from 1 species
CCUACGGGAGGCAGCAGUGAGGAAUAUUGGUCAAUGGCCGAGAGGCUGAACCAGCCAAGUCGCGUGAGGGAAGACGGCCCUACGGGUUGUAAACCUCUUUUGUCGGGGAGCAAAGCGAGUCACGUGUGACUCAUUGAGAGUACCCGAAGAAAAAGCAUCGGCUAACUCCGUGCCAGCAGCCGCGGUAAUACGGAGGAUGCGAGCGUUAUCCGGAUUUAUUGGGUUUAAAGGGUGCGCAGGCGGAGGUGCAAGUCCGCGGUCAAAUUGCGGGGCUCAACCCCGUACUGCCGUUGAAACUGCAGCCCUUGAGUGCGCGAGAAGUAGGCGGAAUGCGUGGUGUAGCGGUGAAAUGCAUAGAUAUCACGCAGAACUCCGAUUGCGAAGGCAGCAUACCGGCGCGCAACUGACGCUCAUGCACGAAAGCGUGGGUAUCGAACAGGAUUAGAUACCCGGGUAGUC